AAGAAAAGCAUCUAGAGAGAGAAGUAGUGCCCGUACCGCAAACCGACACAGGUAGAUGAGGAGAGAAUCCUAAGGCCGGCGGAAGAAUUGCAGUUAAGGAACUAGGCAAAUUGACCCCGUAAGUUAGCGAGAAGGGGUGCCUACGAGAGUAGGCCGCAGAGAAUAGGCCCAAGCAACUGUUUAGCAAAAACACAGGUCUCUGCUAAAGCGCAAGCUGAUGUAUAGGGGCUGACGCCUGCCCGGUGCUGGAAGGUUAAGGGGAACACUUAGCGCAAGCGGAGGUGUGAACUUAAGCCCCAGUAAACGGCGGCCGUAACAAUAACGGUCCUAAGGUAGCGAAAUUCCUUGUCAGGUAAGUUCUGACCCGCACGAAUGGCGUAAUGACUUGGGCACUGUCUCAACUGCAAAUCCGGCGAAGUUGUAGUGUGAGUGAAGAUGCUCGCUACCCGCGAUUGGACGGAAAGACCCCGUAGAGCUUUACUGUAGCUUAGCAUUGAAUUCCGGUAUUGUCUGUACAGGAUAGGUGGGAGACUGGGAAACUAGGGCGUCAGCCUUAGUGGAGUCAUCCUUGGGAUACCACCCUGACAGUACUGGGGUUCUAACAGGAUGCCAUGAAUCUGGUGACUGGACAUUGUUAGGUGGGCAGUUUGACUGGGGCGGUCGCCUCCUAAAAAGUAACGGAGGCGCCCAAAGGUUCCCUCAGAACGGUCGGAAGUCGUUCGUAGAGUGCAAAGGCAGAAGGGAGCCUGACUGCGAGACCUACAAGUCGAGCAGGGACGAAAGUCGGGCUUAGUGAUCCGGUGUACCUCGUGGGAGGGCCAUCGCUCAACGGAUAAAAGCUACCUCGGGGAUAACAGGCUGAUCUCCCCCAAGAGUCCACAUCGACGGGGAGGUUUGGCACCUCGAUGUCGGCUCGUCGCAUCCUGGGGCUGUAGUAGGUCCCAAGGGUUGGGCUGUUCGCCCAUUAAAGCGGCACGCGAGCUGGGUUCAGAACGUCGUGAGACAGUUCGGUCCCUAUCCGUCGCGGGCGUAGGAAAUUUGAGAGGAGCUGUCCUUAGUACGAGAGGACCGGGAUGGACUGACCUCUGGUGCACCAGUUGUUCUGCCAAGAGCAUGGCUGGGUAGCUAAGUCGGGAAGGGAUAAACGCUGAAAGCAUCUAAGCGUGAAGCCUCCCUCAAGAUGAGAUUUCCCAUAGUCGAAAGACUAGUAAGACCCCUUGAAGAACACGAGGUUGAUAGGUCAGAGGUGUAAGUGUGGUAACAUAUUUAGCUGACUGAUACUAAUAGGUCGAGGGCUUGAUC
rnacentral:rRNA from 1 species